GAGAGGGAGGGGCUGUCUGACCCUCAGUGAACAGUCCAGAGGCUCCUGAUGGGAGACUCCAGUCCUGGAACAGACCCUCUGGCCCUGGAGCAGGGAAGGAAGGAGGAUGGAACCCUGGCUGUCUUGUUCUCAGCUAUAGCCCCAGUACCUGGGACUGUCCCAGACACACAGCAUAGAGACGGGGGUUUCACCAUGUUGACCAGGAUGACGUCAAUCCCUUGACCUCGUGAUCCACCCGCCUCGGCCUCCCAAAGUGCUGGGAUUACAGGCUUGAGCCACCGCGCCCGGCCUGGGGAUGCGGCUUUCUACAACAGACUCUGAGCAGCAGGUGAAGACAAUCAGCAAGGCUGUGGGAACAAUGUCAACGUUUGAUUGAGUUUCGAAAUUGAUUGCACCAGCCAUUUCUAGUUCCCCGCACCGUGAGCCUUGUCAAUCUCUCUGGGCCCUGAACCCACGUGGGUCCCGCCAUGGAGAGAGGGGGGCAGCCAGGUGUCUGACAGAGAAGAUGCAUCUCUGAGGGACCCGACUUGUGUGGACCAAGGUCGUGGGUCCCCUGUGUCAUCAACAGUGGAUUCAUUCACUCACAAGGGCAGA
rnacentral:lncRNA from 13 species